CCAGGUUGCUUUUAACCGUCAUCUGCCUGUUCCUAACUACUUCUUCAAAAAGCCAUCUUGAAUCUCAGCAAAACCCCAAACUCAACCAAAUCACCUUACUCCCCUUCAAACUGAUCUGGUUUUCCGACUAAAUCACAAACCGCAACCACCCAUUCACCUUACUACCCUUCAAAUUGAUCCGAUUUUUAGACUAAACCGACCCACUUUUGAAAAACGCCGGCGAUCCCCAGCAUCGUCGCCAGUCAGUCAACCUCCGUUAGGACUUUUAGUUUGUCAUCUUCUUCAUCGGGUCCGACUGUUUAUGUUUGUCAGUUGCCGCUGUUUCUUAGCUUCUUACUCAGGUUGCUGGGUAUCGGUUUUGCACAUUCUGUUUGGUGAUCUUUUCGGUAUGUUUGUUUUUUCAUAUAUAUGUCAUAUUUACAUUUUUUUUUGUUAAUACCUAUCGUAUAUGUGUUGCUCUUAUUAAUAAUAUUUUUUUGCCAAAAAAAUAUUAUCUAUGAAUACAUGAGGGACAACGAAGAUCGUUGCCAGAGUUCAGCAAUCUUUGCUGAGUUUGGAGUAAUGAUGGCGGUGACUUCGGACUGCAAAGGGGACUCAAUGGCAAUGAACAAUGGCAAAUAUGUUCGGUUCACACGGAACAUUGCCCAAAACCAAGCUAACAACGGAGACAACAACUCAUUCACAAGUGCCCUAUCCUCUCAAACAUCGAGCCAAAGCAGAUCAAAGUCUGGUUUCAGAAUCGAAGUUUUUGUGUAGAGAAAAAGAAGCAAAGAUCGAAAAUAAAACCAGGAACUACUUGGAUGGGCUAGCGCUGAAGUGUCACAUCGAAAAAAAAACUCCGAGCUGCUUCCAAAGUGUAUACAUGGCAUUUUGAAACUCCAAUGUGCCAUGAAAGGAACAACUUCAAGUGACUGAGAAUUUUAUAACAUUACAAUGAUCUGGAACAGGCUGGAUAUAUGAUUCAGAAACAUGUUUCAAAAGAGGAAGGCAAUUGGAUUAACCUACUACAAGCUUCCGACCUUUAUGUUUAGUACAUCAUUUCCUGUUAAUAGAAAAAUAUACCCGCCGUGAAGCGCGGGCGUCAUCUACUAGUUAAUAAAUGAACGUGACAACUUUUAAAUUAUCUAGUUUUUUUUAACAACCAAUGAUACUCCUACUUUACUUUAUGCCAAGGGAUUUUCUAAUGGCACACCCCAUGUCUAUCUGCACACU